rnacentral:rRNA from 1 species
AUGACAAGAAGAUAUUGGAACAUUAAUUUGAAAGAGAUGCUAGAAGCAGGAGUUCAUUUUGGUCAUGGUAUUAAGAAAUGGAAUCCUAAAAUGGCCCCUUACAUUUCGGCAAAGCGUAAAGGUACUCAUAUUAUAAAUCUCGCUAGAACGGCUAGUUUUUUAUCAGAAUCUUGUGAUUUAGUUUUUGAUGCAGCAAGUCAGGGAAAAAGUUUCUUAAUUGUUGGUACCAAAAAAAGAGCAACAGAUUUAGUAGCAUCAGCUGCAAUAAGGGCUCGUUGUCAUUAUGUUAAUAAAAAGUGGUUCAGUAUUAUGUUAACAAAUUGGUCGAUUAUGAAAACUAGACUUUCUCAAUUUAAAGACUUAAGAGCAGAAGAAAAAAUGGGAAAAUCCCACCAUCUCCCAAAAAGAGAUGUGGCAAUCUUGAAGUGA